AAUCUCCGUACAAGUUUUGUACGGCGAAUUGUAGUCUAUAGAGGCGUGGUCAGCGUGGGCGCUUGGGGCAAGUUCCUUGGAAGAGGACAGCAUGGAGGGUGAUACUCCCGUUCAUCCCUGAGUGGCUCGUGCGUACGACCCGUUUUCUUUGAGUCGCGUUGUUUGGGAAUGCAGCGCAAAGUAGGUGGUAAAUUCCAUCUAAAGCUAAAUAUUGGUGCGAGACCGAUAGCAAACAAGUACCGUGAGGGAAAGAUGAAAAGAACUUUGAAAAGAGAGUUAAAGAGUACCUGAAACUGCUGAAAGGGAACCGAAUCGUUUCCAGUGUCUAUAAUCCGUGGCAUAUUUCAUUGGCGAGUGUGUGCGUGCGUGUGCUGUGGCAGCGGCCUUUUGGCUGCGCUUGGCGCGAGUGGUGUAUGUGCUUGCCGGUGCCCUGUGCUGCGGUGGGACGUCAAUGUCAGUUCGUAUGCUGC
rnacentral:rRNA from 1 species